GAUGAACGCUAGCUACAGGCUUAACACAUGCAAGUCGAGGGGUCUUUUGGAGCUUGCUUUAAAAGACGACCGGCGCACGGGUGAGUAACGCGUAUCCAACCUGCCCUUCAUAUUGGGAUAGCCUUCCGAAAGGAAGAUUAAUACCGAAUAACAUAGAGUGGUUGCCUGAUUUCUCUAUGAAAGCUCCGGCGAUGAAGGAUGGGGAUGCGUUCCAUUAGGUAGUAGGCGGGGUAACGGCCCACCUAGCCGACGAUGGAUAGGGGUUCUGAGAGGAAGGUCGCCCACACUGGAACUGAGACACGGUCCAGACUCCUACGGGAGGCAGCAGUGAGGAAUAUUGGUCAAUGGGCGCAAGCUUGAACCAGCCAAGUAGCGUGAAGGAUGACUGCCCUAUGGGUUGUAAACUUCUUUUAUACGGGAACAAACCUUGGUACGUGUACCAAAUUGCGUGUACCGUAUGAAUAAGCAUCGGCUAACUCCGUGCCAGCCGCCGCCGUAACAC
rnacentral:rRNA from 1 species